rnacentral:rRNA from 1 species
UCUUGGUCCAAUUAGAGGAAGUAAAAGUCGUAACAAGGUUUCCGUAGGUGAACCUGCGGAAGGAUCAUUACUGAGCUAGGGUCUUUAUGGCCCAACCUCCAACCCCGUGUGAACGAACGCAUGUUGCUUCGGUGGGCCUCGGUGCCUGCCGGAGAUCUGAAUAUACUCUUUUAGUUUGUGUCGUCUGAGUACCAUAUAACAAAAUUGUUAAAACUUUCAACAACGGAUCUCUUGGUUCCCGCAUCGAUGAAGAACGCAGCGAAAUGCGAUAAGUAAUGUGAAUUGCAGAAUUCAGUGAAUCAUCGAAUCUUUGAACGCACAUUGCGCCCCUUGGCAUUCCGAGGGGCAUGCCUGUUCGAGCGUCAUUGCACAUCUCAAGCCUGGCUUGGUGUUGGGUGUUCGUCCCCCCUUGGGUGGAUGCGCCUGAAAAUAAUUGGCGGUGCCAUCGUGGCCUCAAGCGUAGUAGAACUCUCUCGCUUUGGAGGGCUGUUGUGGCUCACCUGCCCACAAGACCAAAAAUUACAAAGGUUUGACCUCGGAUCAGGUAGGGAUACCCGCUGAACUUAAGCAUAUCAAUAAG